rnacentral:lncRNA from 1 species
GACUGUGCAGAACCCACAGGGGGCCACCUAACACACUUUAAUGUUGGAUAGUUAUGGAGAUGGAAUGGGAGAUGUAUACCUAUGCAGGUUUUUUUCCUCUUUGGCCCAUGCCCAUAUAAUUGGUUAAAGGGUAAAGAAAAGUACCUGUGUGUUCACUUGGAUUCUUAUUUUGACUAAUUAUAGUAGGGAGUAGAAAAGAGGACACUUCAUGAAUGACCGAGAGUGAAAUUUCAAGUGUCAAUGGCGUGUGGGCUUCCUAGUGGCACUCGGCAAAGUGGCAUAUUUUGCCGAGUGCAUUCCUCUUGACACUCGGAAAACGGGCCAAACCUGCAAAAAUUUUAUGACGCCUUUGCCGAGUGUUUUGGCAAUGCUCUCGGCAAAGACGUCGAUGCAACAGAAAAUGGCCUCUUUGCCGAGUGUUAACACUCGGCAAAGUGCCCGACCUCCUCCUACAAAACAAAAAUAUUACGUAUAAAAGACCCCUCUCAAAAAAACAACCAGAGAAGCACAUGCAUAUAAAUUACACCACAGGCAUAUAAAUUGCACCACAAGCAUCACAAGCACACAAAUAACAUUCACAAGUUCUAGUCGAAACAGGUAAUUCACAAGUUUUACCACAGCUAACACCUCUAGUUCACAAGUCACUGAGGAGGAUGAGGUGGAUGAGGAGGCUGAGGAGUAUGUGCAGGUGGCCACUGCCCCCAAGAAGAUUCUGCAUUGGACGCCGCCGAUUGAUUCUGCACAAAGUUAUAGAGAUUGCAUUAGUCACUUUUCUAGUGUAAGUCUGUAAUGCCUGUACUUUCUAGUUUAACUCUAGAUUGAUUGUAAGGUUGAGAGUGACUCACAGGAGUAGCUGCAGGAGGUGGUCGAGGUGACGGGAACAGGUUCGGUGGCAUAGGUGGUGGAGUCUGACCUAAACUGUGAAAGACACUCUGCAUGUAUUGGAACAUCUGCUCCGUCCUCUGCCUUUCUAGCUGCCGAUCCGCCUCGAUCCUCGCCUCUAGUUCCUCCCGGCACUUCCAUUCUACCUCCACCUGGGCCUACAAUAUUUCAUCCCAAUGUCUUAUUGCCAAGCAAAAGAUAUGUACAAAAUGAAUGAAAAAUUAAAGAAACAGGAAUAACCUGCAGAGCCUGCAUCUGUAACUGUGCAGCGGUAGGCCGUGCCCGUAUCGCGGGGCUCGAGUCCGUGCUCCUUGCUCGGAUCUGGGAGAGGGUGGGAGUACUGGCAGUGUCGAUCAUGCUAUCUCCAAUCCAGUACCUGCCAUGCUUCUUCCCUCCUCCUACCCUCAUCACAAUUUCAGGAUCAAUAUCCUGAGAGCUCGGAUCGAACUCUAGCCCAUGAACCUCCCUCGCCAUUGCUGUGUACUCGGUGACGCGGCUGUGGAUGCUGGGAUGGCUGUAUGCCUCGAGCGGGUCCUCCGGGUUGAAGUCGAUGUCUGCCGAGGCCUUGCCCUUUUUGGACAUAACCCAUGCCUUGAACCGGGAGCACUCUUGGCCUUCAUGUGAUGACGUCUGCGGCAAAAAUACAAAAGGAUUACAAAAUAUGCAGUAUUAUGUGCAUUAUAUGUGAGAAUAAAGAAAUGAAUUCACGUACCCAUUUUUCCUUGUGGUUCAUAUGGCAUCUGCAGACGCCGCUCCCGGCAAGCAAUGUGGUUCUCCAACCACCCGGGCUGCAACCACACGUCCACCAUUUGUUCCCAGCACCGGGUAAAGGAUCGGCACCACCACGGAGGCACCUACAUCAUCAAGUGUGUGACAUAUAACAAAAAAAGUGAAGCGUAAUUAAUCUCAGAAAUACUAAAUAUUAACUUUCUGUACGUACCAUCAUGAAUUCUUCCUUGGUCAGGUUCAUUGUUCUGGCCUCUUCUUUUUUGACCCUCAUCCUUUUGUAUUCAGCAUAGAAGUCAAUGAUGGCCUGAACCCGCGCCUCGUAGUGCAUGUCCUUAACGAGCUUCUUGGCGGCUUGUUCAAUGACGGAGGCCGCCCUAGCCUCGAAUCCCUCUUGGCAUCUAUAAAAGUCCUGCGUAUAGACACAUUGCAAACAAGUAUUUUUUCAAGAAUGUCUAGCGAAACUUGUGUAUUAAGCAAUCUAGUGCUUCGAAUACUUACCCACAGCUCGGCCUUCACCCGCUCCACCUUGUUCGCAAAUUGCCUGUGGUCACGAUCACCGACGUCGGCGGCGGCGACGUAGUGGUCCCACGUGUAGGCCGGCUCCUCCUGUCUGGCGAAGACCACUAGACCAGGGAAGUGUAGCCUACACAAAAGACCGAUGAUGCCGUUGACCUUGCGGUUGUGGGCACCCCCACUGAGCUUAGUCCAACUCCUACACAAGUGAGUAAUAUACAUUAUUAGUUUCUAUUGUAAAUUUCAACAUAUCAAAAGUACUGAGAAUAUGUAAAGGAACUUACUUUGCCCCAGUGGGUUGAAUCAAUGGGCGUAAAUGAUGAGGGAUCGGUCGCCUCGGGAGGGACGAGGGACCUCGCAACCAGAUCUUGGACUGCGAAUCCCCUGCCUCCUCCCCUGCCUCCCUCUCCUGCUCCUGCUCCUGCUCCUGCUCCUGCUGUAACUCCGCCUCGUCACUAGAAGCGUGCGCGGAAGGUACCUCCUCCUCCUCCGACGACGAAGGCGCAGGCGAGGGGGGCCUCACCCCUUUACCCUUUCCUCGACCCCUGCCCCGACCCCUGCCUCUAGCAAGGACCUGUGCCCCCUCGGUUUCCUCGGCCUGUGCACCACCCCUGCCUCCACCCCUCCCUCGACGCCUCCCUCGACCUCUCGAUGCGUCUGACCUUGUACCUGACCCUGAAGCUGCAGCUUUUAAUUUUUCGUAAAGCGCUGCAAUCUUCCUCGUACCGCCCACCAUUGUUAAGUCACCUGCAUUUGCCAAGAGUUAACCAAUUAGCAUAGAUAAACAAAACAUAAUGUAUAAGAUAUGCAAAAUAAAGUAAACAUACUUAAUAAAUAACAUGGUACGACAAAUAAUAAAUAAAUUUGUACGGCCCAUACAUGUCUUAGAAAUAAUCGUCAUGAUUAGGAUUAGCUGGAUCAUAAGUCUCAUCAUCAUCGCUGUCACGCGUGUCAAUAAAAUCAUUCUCGUGCUCCGAAGGAGGAGUGUCAUCAUCAAUCUCCUGUCCUAACUGUAACCGCUGAAGUAAUUCUAACUCCUUCAUAUUAUGAACCUCCUCUCCAGCAUCAUCGUCAGCAACCAUUUCAUUGUCCACUUCCAUUCUCAUAGCGUCGGUUAAAUCAAUCUCAAAAUUCCCUUCGAGGCCAUCUUCUUGAAAAAAAUCUCCGUCAUAUGUGUUGGGGUCAAUGUUGUAAUCUUCAUUGUUUGGUACAGGUAAUUUACCGUGCGGCGAUACCUUGUACACAACAUCCCAACCUUUAAGACGGUCGUCGGAUUGGCACGGGUAUGACAAAUAAUAAACUUGCGUGGCCUGUUGAGCCACAAUGUAUACAUCGUCUCCUUCUAAGACGGAUGAUUGGCGAAUUUCGACUAACCCAAGAUUAGGUGCCCGUCUCACGACUGAUGGAUCAAACCAAUGGCAUUUGAAUAUGACUGGAUUAAGAACUUUGCAACCAUGAAAAGUUAGUUCGUAUAUCUCUUCAAUUCUUCCGUAGUACUCUACACCAUCAAAGCCUGGCGUAAAAACUCCGCUAUUUGUCGUUCUUCGAUUGGGCCGACUAUGCUCAUGGCUUGUUGUGUGAAAGCGAUAUCCAUUUACAUCAUAACCGGUAAAAGAUUUGACCCUGUAGGCACAGUCAUCGGCAAACUGUCUCAACUCGGCAUUCAUAGACGAAUCGGUUUGGGCCUGCAAGUUGAAGUAGGGUGGUUCGUUAUAUUAUUCGCAUGUACGAUCAACUUCUAAUCAAGCUAAGUACGAGCUAAAAUCGACUGUACCUUAUGUUUGAACCAAGAAAUGAAAUUGGGCAUUCAUUUCCUGCACCCUCUUUGAGAAGAGUCUCGGCUUCGUGCGGGGUAGGUUCCCUUGAAUUACGCCAGAAGUUACGAUGGAAUUCCCUGUACCAACGAGAAACAUGAGAGUUGCACGAAGAAUACUGACAAAUUCAGAAAAGACUAGUUUGUUCAGAACUUACAGUAUGUACGGCUCCACCUCGGAUAGGUUGGUCAAUACAUACAGCAUGAUAGUGCGCCACUCUUUAUGUUUCAAUUUUUUUUGUGUCGCACCACUUGCACUUCCAAGUUGUCCUUGAAAAAGACUAAGGCUCGAUUCAACUUCGCUGUCAUUGUAACGAGGCGGUGGAUUGUGCACGUUAGGAAGGUUGUCAGCAUAGUAUUUUGUUGUGAAGUUUGACACCUCCUCCAGAAUGUAUGCCUCUGCAAUGGAGGCUUCAAUUUUGCAUUUGUUUUUACAUUUAGUUCGAAGAACCUUUUGACACCUCUCAAUUGAAUAGCACCAACGGCCCUGCACAGGCCCCCCCAUUCGUGCUUCAUAAGGGAGGUGUAAAAUCAUAUGCUGCAUCGGAUUGAAGAAGCCAGGAGGAAAGAUCUUCUCCAACUUACAGAGCAACACAGGCGCCAUUCUUUCCAUUUCGGCAACCACGGUCCGAGAUAACUCCUUAGCACAAAGCUGGCGGAAGAAAUUACUCAACUCCGCUAGCACCUGCCACACAUGCUCAGGGACAUAGCCUCGAACCAUCACCGGAAGUAGGCGCUCAAUCCAUAUGUGAUAAUCAUGACUUUUGAGCCCGUUGAUUCGCAUAGUAGCUAAGUUCACUCCCCUCUUCAGAUUUGCUGCAUACCCAUCAAGGAACAUUAACGUUUGGAACCAUUCUAAUACCUCCCUCUUUUGGGCCCUCGUCAGGACGAAAUCAGCCUUAGGCUUUCUCCACGACUUGCCGGCUCUAGGAGGCGCCAUGUCUAACUUUGGUCUGUUGCAUAACAUUGCUUGAUCCACUCUAGCCUUAACGUUAUCCUUUGUCUUGUCAGGAAUAUCCAUAAUUGUACCAAAAAUUGCCUCGGCAAUGUUCUUUUCAGUGUGCAUAACAUCAAUGUUGUGUGGGAGAAGAAGAUCAUCAAAAUAGGGGAGGUUCCACAAGCACGAUCUCUGAGUCCAAGCAUGUUGCUCGCCAUAUCCCACAAAACCACCAUCUUGAUUGUUGACCUCAAGAGCGUCUAACUGAGCACGAACCGCGGCUAAGGUCAGCAUCUGCGGUGGAGGGUCGUUAACUACGACAUCUUUUGUAAAAUUUCUAAUAUCUCGUCUGAAAGGAUGGUCAGGAGGAAGGAAUUGUCGAUGUUUGUCGAAUGAAGAAUAUUUGCCACCCUUCGUCAACCAAAUGAAUUUCAAAGAAGCCUUGCAUACUGGGCAUGGGAACUUCCCGUGAACACACCAACCACAGAAAAUACCAUAUGCUGGCAAGUCAUGCAGGGAGUAGUGGUACCAAACAUGCAUCUUGAAGUUUGUCCUUGUAGCACGGUCGUAUGUCCAUACCCCUUCAUCCCAUGCACGGACCAAAUCAUCAAUCAGAGGCUCCCUGUACACACUCAUAUUAUUUCCUGGAUGUUCUAGAAUUAUCAACGAUAAAAAUAUGUUCUGUCGCUGAAAGAGAACACCAGGGGGGAGAUUGAGGGGGAUAACGAACAUAGGCCAACAGGUGUACGGGGCGGCAGCCAUUCCAUAAGGAUUGAACCCAUCUGUUGCGAGCGCAACACGUACAUUACGAGCCUCUCGAGCUUUCUCAUGAUAAAUCGCAUCAAACUUUUUCCAUGCUUCGCCAUCGGAUGGGUGUACCAGCUUCUCAGCAUUGUAUCGACGUCCGGUUUUGUGCCAUGUCAUUUGUUUCGCGGAUUCUUCACACAUGUAAAGCCGUUGGAUCCUCGGUAUGAAGGGAAGGUACCGAAGGAUCUUCACAGGAAUUGCAAGCUGCUUCUUCUGACCGUCACCAGAGUCUACCUCCAGGAACCUAGACGAUUCGCACUUUACACAGUACUUUGAUUCCGCAUAUUCCUUUCUAAAUAAGAUGCAUCCCUUCGGACAAGAAUGUAUCUGCUCGUACGACAUCUUAAGUGCACGAAGAAGUUUUUGUGCCUCAUACAUAGACUUUGGCAAGAUGUGACCCUCCGGGAGCAGACUCCCAAAAACUGUCAACAUAAUAUCGAAGGCGUUUCGACUCAAGCUAAACUGGGACUUCACAGCCAUUAGACGUGCAAUGGCAUCCAGUUGAGAGACCUUGGUAUGCCCGUGAAGGGGUUGCUGUGCCGCACACAACAUGUCGUAAUACGCCUUUACGGUAGCCUCGGGCUCCUCCUCCCUACGAGCUUCAUGAUAGUCAUCUAACAUGUCUCCCACCCCAGCGUCAUCAUCAUAUUGCUCGAUCCGUUGUCUGAUGACCUCGUCCCUCCCACGAUCGAAUUCACCAUGGUAGAUCCAUAUGGUAUAGUCUGACGUAAAUCCGUGCCUAACAAGAUGUUUACCCAUUUCUAACUUGGUUUGCCGACGCAGAUUUCCACAUUUGCUACACGGACACCAAGUAUCUCUUCCUCCUUUGAUCCUUGCAAAUGCCCGUUCCAAGAAAGCAUCGGUCUUGUUUAUCCAUUCAUCGAUCAACGAAUUCUGACUAGAUCGGCCCGUGUACAUCCACUGACGAUCCUCCAUCCUCUAGCAUAUCAGCGAGUAAUAUAAAAACUCACGUUGCAUCUACACGUUCCUAUACUGUCUAUUAGGUGAAGAUAGGUCCUAAUCCCACACGAGGAUGUGUAGGUGGGAUUAGUUUCCAUGGUCUACUCCGACCCGAGAUAGAAUUUCGGCAGCACCUCCCCGCUGUUCUCCAAAUACACGUCCUGGAAUGGAGAUUGUGUAUCCGGAGAACAAUUGGGAGGUGCUGCCGAAACUCUAACUCGGAUCGGAGUAGACUAUGGAAACUAAAUCCACCUACACAUCCUCAUGCUGUCCAAAGUGACGUGGACAAUUCGAAACAGAUACGGUUAUAAAUAUGCAAACAUCUACAUAUUUCCAACCGUAUCUCUUUCGAACGGGAGACGCCUAACUAGGUUACGUGAUAUACGAACAUCAUACGGAAAUAGAGGUAUAGGAUGACUCACCUUGCUAUCGUACAAAGUGACGACUCGAGGACGGUAACGUAGCCUCUCCUGCAAAAAAAGAACAUACAACUGUCAACUAAAAUUUUCGGCAGCACCUCCCCUGCACGUGGAGGUUUCCAUAACCUGCAUCAAAUGAAACGGCACGAUGGCCGACAACCACAUGUACAAAAGAAGGAACGGCACGAAGGCCGACUUCCACAAACAUUCUUAUACCUUAGAUUCUCAAGCGAAACAUCAUUUUCUAAUUUCUACAACUAUAGCCCUACAAUUUCUAAUUUCUAAUUUCUAAUUUUAACCUACUUCCUAAUUCUGAAUUUGUAACUUGAAAAAUAAAUAUUCAUUACCGGGAGGGUGAGGGACGCCGGCCUAGAAAGUCGAUGGACGUCCAGCGGCGGCGGGAGCGUCAGGGGCGGGGCACCAGGGUCCACGACGCCGGUGGCAGGAGGGCACGGGCCGGGGAUGGGGUGCCGGGGCCGGGGACGCCGGGGCCAGGCCGGGGGCGGCCGUUGGGGCGGGCCGCCGGACAGGGGGCGCCGGGGCCGGGGCCGCCGGGGCCGGGGUGGGGCCGGCCGGUGGGGCGUGCCGCGGGGAAGGGGACGCCGGGGCCGGGGCCGCCGGGGCUGGGGCGGGCGCGGCCGGUGGGCUGGGGCACCGGGCAGGGGGCACCGGGCGCCGGGGUCGGGGGCGGGGUCGCCGGGCCGGGGCGUCAGGGCGCCGGGGUCGGGGGCGGGGUCGCCGGGCUGGGGCGUCGGGGCGCCGGGGCCCGGGCGGCGGCGGCGGGCGGCUGGGGGCGCGGGGAGUCGGGGCGGCGGGGCGGGGCGCCGGGGCCGGGGGCGAGGGCACCGAGGCGAGCGCGGCGGGCGGCGGCCGGCGGCGGGGACCGGGCGGCGGCGGCCGGCGGGCAGCGGGCGGCGGCGGGCAGUGGGUGGCGGCGGCGGGCGAGAGAGGAGCGUCGUUUCGUUUUUUGGGAUAGAGGCCGGGCCGCACGCGGCGGUCGGCUGAAAACGUAAGUCCGGCGCUUUGCCGAGUGCCCCCGAUCUGGCACUCGGCAAAGUAACAUUCAUUUUUUUAAAAUUCCGGUGCUUUGCCGAGUGCCUUGGAUCUGGCACUCGGCAAAGUAAAGAUUCAUUUUUUUAAACCUGCUGCCAGGUGCAUUGCCGAGUGCCUUCGAUCUGGCACUCGGCAAACCUGCUUUCUUUGCUGAGAGCCAGAUCCAAGGCACUCGGCAAUGCCACGUUUUUCUUUUUUAAAAGAUGAGGAGAGUACUGCCAGGUGGGCCCGUGUACCCGUUUUUGCCGAGUGUAUGUGGAAAACACUCGGUAAGGUAGCUUUUGCCGAGUGUUUUUUUAUACACUCGGCAAAAUAGACUAAUAUUUCAUGUUCCUUCUUCGACAACCUGUUUUACAGAUCUUUUUCUAAUAUACUUGGGCAAAAUCGUGUGAACAUCACUCAACAAUGGUUAAAUUAUUUUUCUACAGAUAAUGUUCUAUUAUUUCAUGCAGUUAUAGCGCAAAUUGCAUUUAUAUCUACUAAAAAUCUAUAAUUGCAUUUAAUCAAUAAAAAAUAGUAAACGCAUCCGAAAAAUUUUCAAAUUUUGACACGAACCAAUCUGUGUUGUAUGUUGUCUAUACAAAAAGAUUUGAGGCCAAACCUUAACUCAAGUGUCACUUGGACUAUAAAUCUUAUUGUGUCCUCUCUAACUUCUAUGAAUCCUUCCAGGAGAUGAGUCAGCUUCUAAGCAUCCUAUGUCAGAAAUUGGGCGAAACCUUCUCAAUUUUUUACCACAGCCUCCACACAUAAUAUCAUGACAUCUUGACAAAUCUUGUGAUUUUCAGAUUUCGUUUGCUUUUUUUAGAAUUGAACAACCAUUCAACCACACGUUCGUGGUCGUGUUUUUUAAUAACAAUGUUGAAAAUUUGUUUUCAUUUCCUGGUUGAGAACUCAAUCCGGACUCCAUAAUAUGGAUAUAAUUUUUCCACUGAUUAUAAACCAUCCUUUCAUGUACCUGCAGUUAAAAUCUGACAUGAAUAAAAAAAUUCCUAUUAAUGCAAUCAUUUCAUUAAAAAUAGGAAACAGACCACAAAAUAUACCAACUUUUAUUAUGGAUUACAAAAUCUCCUACGUGGGGAGUAGAAAAAGUGUGGAGGCCGGGGGACGAAAUUUUUUUUUUGUUCGUCGAGUGCCAAAUUUUUACACUCGGCGAAGUAAUAUGUUUGCCGAGUGUCCAGGGUGAGGCACUCGGCGAAGUGACACGUUUGCCGAGUGUCUUGCGCUGGCACUCGGCGACAUUCUGGAUUUGCCGAGUGUGGGAGGGUGGCACUCGGCGAAGGGCCUCUUUGCCGAGUGUCGGAGUCCAACACUCGGCAAAGGACUAACGGCCGCCCCAGUCCGGUGACGGACGGCGCACGUGCGAUGCACGCGCCGUUGAUUUACCGAGUGUCGGACUUUUGCCGAGUGUCACUGAGAGGUUUGCCGAGUGUCGAAUUUACGGCACUCGGCAAACGACCUUAUUGCCGAGUGUAAUAUGUUUGCCGAGUGUCGCGUUUCAUACACUCGGCAAAAAGGCUGUUUGCCGAGUGCUCGAAGGAAAGCACUCGGCAAAGUUUUUACACUCGGCGAAUUUACUGUUUCCGGUAGUGGAGUAGAAAAGAGGACACUUCAUGAAUGACCGAGAGUGAAAUUUCAAGUGUCAAUGGCGUGUGGGCUUCCAUUCCAUCUUAUGUUUAAUUAUUUUAUUUAGUUAACAACAUCGCAACCAUAUAUGGAUGCUAUUGUUUUUUGUUGAGCGGAAACAGUAGGAGAAACCUAUAUGGAUGCUAUAGCUAAGCAAAUCAUGCACUAUGUAUGAUUGUAUGUUUACAUGAGGGAAUAAGAGGUCCAACAAAUUUUGUGUUUAUGACAAUAGGGAGCAGAACUGAAUAAUUAGGCAAAAGCAAUUUAAUUUUACAAAGCAGCUGUUCAUUAU